rnacentral:rRNA from 1 species
AUUGAACGCUGGCGGCAUGCCUUACACAUGCAAGUCGAACGGCAGCGGGCCUUCGGGUGCCGGCGAGUGGCGAACGGGUGAGUAAUGCAUCGGAACGUGCCAUUGAGUGGGGGAUAACGUAGCGAAAGUUACGCUAAUACCGCAUAUUCUGUGAGCAGGAAAGCAGGGGACCGCAAGGCCUUGCGCUCUUUGAGCGGCCGAUGUCAGAUUAGCUAGUUGGUGAGGUAACGGCUUACCAAGGCGACGAUCUGUAGCGGGUCUGAGAGGAUGAUCCGCCACACUGGAACUGAGACACGGUCCAGACUCCUACGGGAGGCAGCAGUGGGGAAUUUUGGACAAUGGGCGCAAGCCUGAUCCAGCCAUGCCGCGUGAGUGAAGAAGGCCUUGGUUG